rnacentral:rRNA from 1 species
UGGGGAAUCUUGCACAAUGGGGGCAACCCUGAUGCAGCGACGCCGCGUGAGCGAUGAAGCCCUUCGGGGUGUAAAGCUCUUUCGUCAGGGAAGAUAAUGACGGUACCUGGAGAAGCAGCUGCGGCUAACUACGUGCCAGCAGCCGCGGUAAUACGUAGGCAGCGAGCGUUGUUCGGAGUUACUGGGCGUAAAGGGUGUGUAGGCGGUUUUUUAAGUUUGGUGUGAAAUCUCCCGGCUCAACCGGGAGGGUGCGCCGAAUACUGAGGGACUAGAGUACGGGAGAGGAAAGUGGAAUUCCUGGUGUAGCGGUGAAAUGCGUAGAUAUCAGGAGGAACACCGGUGGUGUAGACGGCUUUCUGGACCGUAACUGACGCUGAAACACGAAAGCGUGGGUAGCAAACAGGAUUAGAUACCCUGGUAGUCCACGCCCUAAACGAUGCAUAUUUGGUGUGGGUCAUUCAGUUGAUCCGUGCCGGAGCUAACGCGUUAAAUAUGCCGCCUGGGGAGUACAGUCGCAAGGCUGA